rnacentral:lncRNA from 1 species
AUCUAUUCUACAUAGCCUCACUCCUAUAUGUACAAUGUCCUCAUAAACACACAAUUAAUUCCUAUCUAAAAACUACUUAACAAAACUCUACAAAGUUACUAGUUCUUCUGGCCCACCUAAUUAAUCAUUUGCUGCAUUAUCGAAUGUAGGUUCCACCGAUUUUGGUUCUAAAUUCAAAUUUUCCUCCUCCACCUAUCCGUCCAUCAGCUCC